GCUACCUGUAAUCAACCAAAACACCCACAUGGUAUGACAUAUUAUUAAGGUGGAUGCCAUGGCAUGCCACCUCAUCAUCUCAAUUUCAUUUUUUCCUCCCUCCCCUUUCUUCCUCUAACACCACCUCCCUCUCCACCUAACCACCACCAUAAUUCAAAACCAACCACAGGUUUGUACAUGGUCUAGCGUCAAUGAGAUAUCCCAGUAAUAAAAUUACAAUCUUAAUGCAGCAUACCUAAUUCAGAAGAAAGUUUAAAUACACAAGAAUAAGCACCAAAUCUGUGUGGAAAGCAUAAAAUACCCCAAGGUGAAGAAGUUGAACACUUGAACCAAAACUUUAAAGUAGAAAAUCAACAUGCACCUGUCUCUGCUGAGGAAUAUAUGAGGUUAGGGUUGAAGGUGGCUUUAGCUUCUGUUCCCUGUAAUUGUUAAACCUCAUGCCUCCAACUCCUACAGGAAGGGCGGAUCUAUGUAGAGGGAAGGAUGUGGUACGUCACCCGAUCGCUCCGAUAGAAUUUCAUAUUAGUACUGGUAUUCCACUGAUAUUUCAUGUAAAAAAAGUACAAAAUAAUUUUGUAGCACCCUAAUGAACAAUGUUAUGAUAGGUGCCACAGUCCAAGUGCUUCUUCUUAGGCCUUAGACCUAGAGUUGAA